CAAAAAUUUCUGCAAAUGGGUUCAACUCUAAUGGAAGUCAAAUCAAUGGCAGCAGUUUAUACCAAGCGAGAUUAUGUCAAGUUGUCCCCACAGCAGAUGGUGUCUGACUGAACACAGUUCUGGAAAAAAUGGCCAAGGAAGAUAUAAUUAUUUGUGUUGAAGCAGCAGCCAAGUCAACCCUAAAUGACACCAAAGGACAAAUCAACGUGGAACUUGAAAUUGAGCUUCAGGGAACUGAAGCCAGACAGGCUUACGCAGACAUUUUUCUAGUCUUAAUUGCCUUAGGGCAAUUAGACACAACACUUUGUGACUGGAGUUUUCAUUUGUGUGGUGGCAUCAUCUUCCCCUUGCCUAAAGCUGACAUAAAAUAUUGUCAUCCUCAGCGAAGAGAAUUUCGAGUUGAAUAAAGACCAACGACUCCACACUGAACUGGCUGGAAUGGAAAAUGAGUGAUGAAUAUCAUCUUGCCAUUUUAACACCUGAACCAUGAACAUCUGGAAUUGGAACUGAAACCUUAACCUGACCCUGGAAAAAAGCUGUUGAUGAAUUCACCAAACUUCUCGUCAAAUGCUACCUAAAAUCUACUUUACCGUCCAUCAAGAAAACGCAAUUAAAAUAGCUGCCGUUUGGAUAAGGAAACCGUGGCCCUGCGGUUUCUUGUCAUCGAGGAAUCCUCGGUCACGUCGGUCUGUAUUCUUUAACGACAAGCACUGCCACAAGAGUUAAUCCCAGGCCCGCCAACUCAUCUACUUGGCGAGUAAAGACUACAGAUACAAGGUGUAAGAAGCCCUCCUCUUAAACAAAAAUGGAAGUAAAAAUAAGUGCUCAGUUUCCUUCGAUGUCGAAUCAGUAGCUCCACUCAGCUUUGCAUUGGAAAUAAGUCACCUACUUUCAAGGGAGUCUAUUGAUCAAAAUUUUAGCGAAUUUUCUUGAUGUACUUUGUGAUCAGUAGAGCUGAUGAAAGGUCUCAAUUCAGGCUGAUGGACCAAUGGAGUGAAGAAUGUGAUCGACUAGCUGUAACAGCAUCCGACGGAUCAAUUUUACCAGUUUCCUAGACCAGAUACAAAUUUGUAACUGUGCACCACCUUCAUCUUUUGUCAUCAGUAAUUGCACAGCUUAGGUCGACUGAUUCCCGUGCGUUCAGGGGUAUCCAAACCAUCAACAACUGAGCACGUCCUGUGGCACCUCUUCGGUUCUCCUUCGAGACGGGGACGAGACUACUGGAUUUGCAGAGAUUACAGAUUUUCCCGCCAUCAGAGCUUCCGCUGUAAGCAGCAUUGGACGUAUUGAAACGACCCACCCAUCCGUUAUUGCCAUUACUGGAACCGUGAAGUAUGACAGAAGGUGGUCCACUUGGUCGGAUGCCAUUCGCUGAGUGAAAACCCGGUACGAUGCUCUGAGCGUAGCAUACUGGAUAUUGUUGUUGUUGAUGUUGUGGUUGGUGCGCUGGAUGACAUCCGAGGCUGGAUGUGACACUAGAUGUGCCGCCGUACGUAGAACUGGCGCUAUUCCCUCCAACGCUUGGCACGGGACUCAUGACGGGACCUCGGGAGUAAGGCGCUCCCGGCUUUAUUACAUUUUGUAAAAACUUCAGUUUUUAAAUUGCGUUAUUUUUAGAUGAACAGUAAUAAUCAAAAUAGCUACCUGGUGAUAAAAGUUGCCACCACUUAUGAUUGGAUGAACUGAAGCUCCACUUAAAUUUGUAGAUCCCGUAUUGUUGCUCGGGCCAGUACUUGAGUGCUGUGAUCCGCUGUGGCUUCCUAAUAAUUAGAUUUUGCAAUAAAUAAAAAUUCCUCAAGAUUGC